GAUGAAGAACGUAGCGAAAUGCGAUAAGUAAUGUGAACUGCAGAAUUCAGUGAAUCAUCGAAUCUUUGAACGCACAUUGCGCCCAUUAGUAUUCUAGUGGGCAUGCCUGUUCGAGCGUCAUUAAGUCCACUUAAGCCCUGCUUAGUGUUGGGAGACUGCUCCAGCGGUGCUACCCUGUAGCUACCCUGCAGCUCCUCAAAGACAGCGGCGGAGUUGUGGUAUCCUCUGAGCUUAGUAACUUGUUCUAGCUUUCGAGUACACCACUUCCCCUGCCGUAAAACCCUUAAUUUUUAAUGGUUGACCUCGGAUCAGGUAGGAAUACCCGCUGAACUUAAGCAUAUCAAUAAGCGGAGGA
rnacentral:misc_RNA from 1 species